rnacentral:lncRNA from 1 species
AAUUUGAAUCUUAAGAACAAUCUUUGAAGCUGAGAACAAUUUUCUGAAAAUACAGAACUUUUUAUUAAACUAGCAAACAUUUUUUGAAAAUGCACAAAUUUUUUAAAAAUCGAAUAACAUUUUUGAAAAAUUCAGAACAUUUUUUGAAACAGAAACAGCAAAUAGAAAACAUAAAGAAAUGAAUAAACAAUAGAAGAAAGAAGAAAGAAAAAAAGAAAAAGAAACAAAAUAUCAGUUCAAAGAACCUUGUAGAAGUUUUCAAAACCCAAAAAACGGCUGAGAACCUUUCCAAAACCGGAGCGCUGCAACCGGUUAAAUAGUUCAGGCCAUUUAAAAUCGUUCCCCUUCCAACUUGGAGCGAAGGUCCGAUACCGCUUCGUACAGAAUGGCGAAGAGGACAUUCCACUCCCUCGAUCAAGGUGCAAGACUGGAUCAGACUGAUGCCUUACAAUAUUUUUCUGUUUCUCUUCUAAAACAUCUUUAUAUAUUUAAAAUUAAGUAUGUACUCAAACAGAGAUUGUUAGCUUGAAUUAAAACAUACUCCCUCCGUUCCUAAAUGUAAGCCUUUUAAGAUAUUUCAAUAGGAGUCUACAUACGAAAUAAAAUGAGUGAAUCUACACUCUAAAGUAUGUCUAUAUACAUCCGUAUGUAGUCCACUAAUGAAACCUCUUUAAAGACUUAUAUUUAGGAACGGAGGGAGUAUAAUAUAUAAAUAAAAAAACUUAUAAAAUGAUAUUUACGAAAUAAUGGUAACAUAGUAUAAUAAAAUUGCCAGCACAGUUUAAAUGAAUGCUGAUAACAUUUGAAAUAUGUUCGGACAGUGAAAAAAUGUUCCCGUGUUUCCAAAUAUUGUAUAUUAGAUUUUUAAAUGUGUAUACAAUAUCAAAUUAAUAUUUUCCUAACACAAAAAAUGUGCUUCUUCCCAAUUAACAAACAACAUGUGAUAUUUAAAAAAUUAUAUAAAAUGUGAAAAAUGCUAUUCUUAGUUAAAAACAAAGUUUUUCCCAUAAAAUGCACCUGACAUUUCGAAACAAUUGCGUAUUCCUGGAAAAAUGUACCUGAAAUGUCCGUAAUAUUUCUUAAUGUAAAAAAAUGAUUGCAUAGUUUCAAAAAACUAAUUUUGCGAUUAUACAAAUGUACAACAUGUAAUUUUAUAAAACUUUACCACUUGUUUAAAAAUGUGUUCCCAAGAUGUAUUUUAAAUAAAUAUACUUCAUGUAUUUCAAAAAUGUUGGCAUGUAUCAUAUUUUUUUAACGUGUGCUAUAAUAGUGUAAAUUGUGUACUGGAAAAUAAAGUAAAAUAUGUUUGAAAAAAUUGUUAUAAGAACCAAUAAAAAAACAAGAGUAAACCAAUUAAUAUAACGAAGAAAAGAUGAAAAGGCUAAAAGUAACAACAAAAAAAAGAAACCCAGAGUAAAAUGAAGAGAAAAACGAAAGAAAAUCAGCUCGCUGUCCUGUGAUGGGCCGGCCCAUUACACUGUGUAUUUUAAUACUUCCAAAAUUAUGGAGUAGAUGGGAUUCGAACCAGAGACAUUCGGCCACGUACUAAGAUGUGGUUGAUUAGCUUAUUUAAAUUUUAUUACUUACUAGUAAAUAUGCCCGUGCGUUGUAACGGGAAAAACUCAAUGAUAUCCCUAUGUAAUAGCAACGGCCUAGAACAUAAGCGUGAUGAUUUGAUUUGCGACUUCUAGAUGAAAAUUUAUAAAAGGAAGUCAUAUGUUAUUUACAUGCUCCACUAAAGAUUUCAUGAGCAUUGGAAUUUUAUAUCACCUACUUAUAGUUUAAACCCAAAGUUAGCACAAUUUUGAAUUCGAAUUUGAAAAAGAACAGACAAAUACUCUCUGAAAACUGUUGGAAAAAUUUAUACUUUUAUAAGUAGUAGCAUCCGUGAAAUUUUCCUAUAUAUUUCGUAGAGUGUUGAGCAUCGAAACAUUUAGAUUAUACUAAUCCUGAAAAGCUUAUGGAGGAGUAGAGGAGGAGAAGAUAUUCCAGCAAAUUUCGUUUUUUUAUUUUCUUUCAACCACUCCUUUUCACUGACCAAUGGGUCUCCUGGAUCUAGUAGUGUCAUCUCCAAGGGACACGCGUGUACAACCCCCUGUCCGGCUGUCUCUUCCUCCACUCCACUGCCUCUCUCUUCACUCUUUUCCUCCCUCCUUGGAUCCCCUUUCUUGUCAAGCUCACCGGGGACGCCGCCGCUUGCCAUUGCAACGCAAGAUGCAAGAACCGGCGGGAUCCGUCAGCCCUCAGUCCGAAUCGACGUCCACACCUCCAGCUCUGACAUGCACACCCGCUAGAAGCCGCCAUGAACCACACCACCUUGUUUCUCCGGUGCGUUCUUGCUCCUAGGUAGUUCCUAGCUCCAUUGUUGCUCCUGUCGUCCCUUUAAUGGUGAUUCCGGGCACGGCGCCCGGCAGGAACCUCUUGAACCAAGGACGCCUUUCUCGGUUCCGUCGGUCGUCGUUGUGACGCCGCCGCGGUCAUUCUCCUCCCCCUGCAGAUACAGGGACCGUGAUGGGCUCCGCGUCGUCUGCGUCUCCUUUGGACCACACACUCGAAGCCGUGUGUCCCUCCUACUUCUUCCUCGACCUCUGGCCGCCAUCGAUGCUGUCUGGAAGUCGCUACUGUCCAUACUCUCACCUCCUUGAGCCAUCCGACCCCGCCACGAACCACAGGGUGAGGGGUCGCAUCUGCCUGCUGCUAGCUUGCUUUGCUGCUUGUUGUUGUUGCCGCUUGCUGCCGCUGGUUGUUUUUCUUACCGCUGCUGCUUUCCUUUGUUGUUGCUGCUGGCCUUGCGGGUAAAUGAGAGAAAUAAAUAAAGUUCUACAUCUCUACAGGGAGAUGGUUAGAUUCACCUCUGUACAGACUAUAGAGAGAUGACCAUGUUUUAGUACCUUUUAAUUUACUUGCUCCUCAGUGUCAGACUAAGGCUAGUCUUCCUUGUGCAUAAAAGUUUUAGAAAAAUGCUCAACUUGCUGAUCUUGUAAAAUCCAUCACAAAAUGAUUCUUCUAUUGGUGUCACUGUUUUCACCUUUAUUUAGUUUAUUAAUCUUCCUCUCACUGUUUUCAGUAUUUAGUUUAUUAAUCUUUCUCAUCAUCUCCAUCGCCAGCGUAUUUAUGUUUAUCGACAUCGUCAAUGUCGGUGGUCGCGGUAACGGACUAUGGCAAGUGUGCUCUACCGGUAAGCAAUGCCUCUCACCCUCCGCCGGCCGGCCAUGCCUCUCCUCAUGAUCACCUUCAGCCUACUUAUUCAUUGGUUCCUGAGGAGUCUGCUCGAUGUUGCGGAUAACUUGCAAACAUAUUAAAAUUGGUGAUACUUGGAGCAAGGUGGGAUUAUUUCACGUGAAAUAACCACGUAUCUUUUUUUCAUGACAUGUGUAUGUUAUAGGUUUUUUUUAACUUAGAUGUAUGCUACACGUCAAUUGGCUACCUUGAUUAGAAUUUGAUCGUACGAAAAGGGGUUUUAUGUAAAACUGGAAAAAAACGGUUCAUUGUCACUUAAAAGAGGGACUGCGGGUUAGUUCGGAUAAAAUAGAAGGUUUUGUGCAAAACGUAAAAUAACGGUUCGACUUGACUUAUAAAAGGAAUACGGGUUGAAUCCUCAAAAACUGAGGGGCUUUUUCGCAAAAUUGCCACGAUGGACGACAGAAGAACUACGUGCUUUAUUAUUACGGAGAGAUUCUCUUUUCCAACAAUUCUAUUCAGUUUUAUCUUUUCUUUUUUCUUUUAUUUUUUAUUUUAUUUUUCUCAUACUUACUUUUUUGAUAAAUUAUGAUGAAUUGUUUCAACUUUGAUGAACUUUUUUACAAAUUCAAUGAUUUUUGAGAAAAAAAUCGUUGAAUAUUUUUUCAAAAUCUGUGAAGUUUUUUAAAAUUCGAUGAGCUUUUUAAAAAUAAUGAUGAACUUUUAUCAAAUUUGAUGAUUUCUUUUAAACCAGUGAACUUUUUUUCAAAAUCUCUGAACCUUUUAUAAAAUCAAUGAUUUUAAAAAAAAUUGUGAACUUUAUCACAUUGGCUGAACUUUUUCCAACUUUGGUGAACUAUUUUCCAAAAUUAAUGAACUGUUUUUUAAUUCGGUGAACUUUUUUAACAUUUGACGAUAUUUUUUCAUAUCCGAUGAACUUUUUAAAAUUUUGAUGAACUUUUUUCAAAUUCGUUGAGCUUUUUUUAACACCGAUUAACUUUUUUUGGCAAAUUUGAUGAACGUUUUCAAAAUCAUUGAAAUUUUUAUAAUAAUUAAUGAACCUUUAUCAAAUGUGAUAAACAUUUCUCAAAUUUGAUUAUUAUUACAUUUAAAAUCUGUCAACAUUUUUUCCAUUUAAAAACUUAGUUUGCAAAAUCGGUGUACUUUAUUUUCCAAAAAUCAAUGAAUUUAUUCUGGGCCUGCAGGGGCGCCGAGCUGUUUGAUGGGCUGGCCCUGCGCUGCGGGAGCCAGGAGGAUAAACGGGCGCCUGCAGCGCAAUGUAGGAGCUCCCGAAAAGCCUAUUUGACGCUCUCUGCGUCAAGGCAUCGAGGCUUCGCAUACGGAGGGAAGGUGUUCGAUUUAAAUGGGCUGUCCCAUUAGCGGGUUACACUGAUUCAGGUUUUGGGAACUACAGGUUCCAGCGGGGUUUAUUUUUGGUUUUGCUAAACUUCUAGAAUGUUUUCUGAACCGCCGAUUUUUAUUCUUUAGUUUUGUUCUUUUUUGUUUUUGUUCAAAAAAUGUUCUAAAUUUUCAAAACAUUGUUCGGGAUAUUCAGAAAAAUAUUAUGAUUUUCACAAGUUGAUCUUCCUAUCCGAAAAAGCAAAUUAUUUUGAAAAAAAUGUUCCGGAUUUUCCAAAAUGUUAGGAUUUUCAAAAAUUGUUCUUCCAAUCCGAAAAAUGUUUUUGCUUUUUAGAAAAUGUUAUGUAUUUUCCAAAAAACGUCUUCAAAUUCUAAAUAUUUUUUUGAUUUUUGAAAAAUGCUCAAGAUUUUUUAAAAUGUUUUGGAUUUUUAAGAAAUGUUGUGAUUUUUUUUAAAAAAAUAGUGGUUUUCAAAAAUUGUUCUUCAAAUUCGAAAAUUACAUUUUGCUGUUGAAAGAAAUGUUCUACAUUUUUAAAAUAUGUUCUGUAUUUUCAAAAAAUUAUCGGGUUUUUUGAAAAAAUGGAUUUCCAAUAAUUGUUGUUCAAAUUCAAAAAAUGUUUUUUCUUAUAGAAAAAUGUUCUAAAUUAUAUAUAUUUGUGUUUUUUAAAAAACAUUCAUAACUUCAAAAAAUGUUCGGAAUUGCCCAAAAAUAUUGUGUAUUUUAACAAAAUGUUCGAUAUUUUCAGAAAUUGUCUUCUAUUGUCUGAUAAUGUUCGCAAUAUCAAAAUUCUGUUCAGUUUCUUAACUAAGGUUGUUUUCAGAAAUUGCUCUUAAAUUUCUAAAGCACAAUUUAUAUUCCAAAAAAUGUUCUUGCUUUCAGAAAAGGUUCUAAAUUUCUAAAUUUAUUGUUUUCCAAACUUUUUCAUAAAUUCAAUAAUAUUCUGAAUUUUGAAAUGAACUUCAAAUUUGUAUAAUAUUUUUCCUUCCAAUACGAAAAGAAAAUAAAAAAGAAAUAAAAAACGAACAAGAAAAGAAAAGAAAUAUGCAGAAAAGAAGAAGAAAAAAAAAAUAUUAGAUUUUUCUGAGACAAAAAGAAUAAUCUGGCCGGCCCAGUUGGGACGAGCCCCUGUGCGUUGCAGCGCUUCCCUCCCGCAAAAUGCUGCAGGUAGGAGCUCCCGAAUCAGGAUUCUUUUCUCAACACAUAAAAAACUUGAAUCGGGAUUCUUUUCAAAAAGAAAAACUGGAAUCGGAAUAUAGGUAACAUGUAAGACCUGACGGAGACAAUGACGCGCCUAAUAGGGUUUAUUGUAGCUAGCCUCACCGCGGUGCUCGUAAUUGGCCGGCCCGGGGUGCGAGUCAGCCUGUUAUUUGGUUCACAUUGGCUUGUGUCCGUUUGAUUUUGAAUUUUGUUUAUAUAUAUUUGUUAGUAUUGUAAAUAGUUUUUAGCAAAUAUAUAAUUAAAUUUAAAAUGGUCAUCGUGCAUUCGAAAAAUGUUCAGUUAGUGUAGAAAUUAUUCGCGUGAUUUCUAGAAAAUAUUUAUAUAUUUCAGAAAAAAUAUCACAUUCAAAACAUUUGACGUGUUAAAAAGGAGUUCCGUGAUAUUUUCUAAAAAAACUAUUCAGUGUAAAAUUAGAUUAUUUAAGAAAAAAAUUAUAACAUUCAAAAACAAUCCAUGAGAUUUAAAAAGCAUCAUAAUACUUAAAAUGUUCAUUACACUAAAAAUUCGUGUGUCAAGAAUAAGUUUAUAAUUUAUUAAAAAUUGUGUACUCGAUGUAAAUUUCACGUAAUUUCCAAAUAAUAUUUGUAAUUUAGAAAACUAUAAGACAUUUUAAAAUAUCAGGACACUUAGAAAAUGUUUCACACAUUAUAAAAAUAUAUUCAUAGGUUUUGUAAAAAAUUAUCAGUGUGUGUUUACAGAAUUAUCACCGGGGGUAUUAAAUUGUUCCAUGUGCAACCGAAACUUGUUUAACCCUUGUAUUAAAAGAUGACUAAUGUCUAUUGACAAAUGAUGAACAUGUAUUUCAAAACCGUUCAACGUAUAUCUAAAAACUGUUUAGCAUGUAUGCGGGAGCGCCAGAGGCUGAGUCGUCUUUCUUUAUAAAGACAAGAUUUAUAUAGCCAUUAUGUAGCAAGGAUGUCUUUGCUCGUUCGGAAGAAAGAGGGAGUAAGGAUUAAACAAAAUUUCAGCUCGUGGCCUUCUCAGUUCGAACUCACGGUCGAUGGUGGUGUUUUGUUUUUCUAAACACAGUAUAAUUAAAGUCGCUCACAUAUAUGGGCAUAUACUUAUCUAUAUAAAUGCACACACCCACACCCAACUCAUAUAAGCAUUCCUGAGAGAUCAAACCGAUACAUCCUCUUAAAAUUGACGAAGUCACCACAGACUCCUUCGUAGUUGACAGAAAUGUCUCCUUUCAUUACUGAACGCACAUCACCGGAAUGUCUGAAAUAAAUGCAGAAAAAUAUGAGCACAUCAAUGUCAAGUCCUUGACUUAUGGUGAACAUGAGAUACCACCAUCUUUUUAACUAUCCAGCCACGGGUUGAUUUGCGUCGCUGGUGGUUUUGUGUACGCUUACACGGUGGCCGUUCUCACAGCUCUUGCUUUCAUCCACCCAACCAUGAGCGGUCUAGAUCAUGACAAGCUUGAAUCUUUUUGGAACGUUCCGAACUGCUGCUAGCCGGCCGGGCAGUAGCGGUCGGCCGCGGAGCUUUCAGCGUGUGGAAAACGGCAAGCCGAACCGCCAAGGCAUGCCCCGGAGGAUGACCAUGUUAAAUGAAGGACAAGGACAUGGCGCGAGAAUAGUCAAUGACAAGUCGAGCUAGCAUCAUUCAUGUGACAUCCAUCCAAUCCAAGGGUGUGGUCUGUAUGUCUUGGUGAUGCAAGUCGAUUGCAUGGCUACCACUGUGUGCAUGCAUGUUCAUCCAUGGCAACCAACCGGUCCGAUCCGAUGACCGUGGUGCGAAUUCGAUGACCAUAUGAUUUAGUUAGCUGAUGACCCACGAGAGAGAGAGAGAGAGAGCGGGCAUGCAUGCACUGAUGCACGGAGGGAGGGAAGGAAGGAUCAACGACCUCUCGAGCGGUUUCCCAUUAUUAAAGGAAGGCGAGUCCAAAUCUAACCACUUUCCACUUUGGCCGAGGGCUGGACAGAAAGGGAUCGAAGGGAUGGAGCAGGAUCUGACCUGACGAGGCCCUUUCACACACACACAAAGAGACACAGUGUGAUGAGCUAGCUUUGCUUGGCUGCUCGAUCGACCUUCCCUUUUGUAGACCUUGAUGGCGUGCACUUGUGCUCACAUCCGAUGGCCGAUCGAGGGCAAAGGUGAAACUAAAAAAGAGGUUAGUUUCGUGAUGCGUAGAUGUUUCUGAAGCCUGAAGGAAAUACGCACACAUCCACUGCGUGCCAGCCACCUCGCUGAGACCCGGGAGGGGAGGCACGCACGCUCCUACUCGAUCGAUCGGUAGAAUAUAUCUACACGCCCAUACCCAUGAAUAAACAAACCGAACCACAACAAUACAGCGACGCGCACAGCUAGGGAGAAGAAAGGGAGCAGAGCGGAGUGGUAGCAGGUAGACGUCCCUAAUUUCUUAUCCGGCGAAAAACAAACAGCGGCGGCGCGCGGCGGCCUGCGCUGUGUUUCCGCCCGGUACGGCUGCAGGUUCUCGGCAGCGCUCUUCAGCGAGCGGGAUGGGCAAAGAUGCGGCCGCCGAGCAUCUGCCUGCUCGGCCGGUGGUGUCACGGUCUCGGGAAAGCAACGGCCACCAGACGCGCGCGCCCGUGCCACUGCCCGCCGGACGAGCCGGAGCUUGCAUGGCUGUGGAUAGAUAGGGCGCCGCGUGCGUGCGAGUGUGACAAGAAGAAGGUGAUCGAUGUGCAUCGCCGUCGCGGUCGCACAGCUAGCCCUGCUCGUGACCUCCCUCUGACUUGUGCGCUCGCCGCCGUCAUCCCGUGGCCUCCUCUGCUAGUCGACCUUCCUUUGUCGCCGUCUCAAUUCAUAGCCGGAAAGUAACAAAUAACCCCCACAUGCAAAUUCCUUCAUCCAACGCAGUCUGUGACUCCAGCCAACAAUUACUUCAGGGCCGGGUAACUGCAUGCCAACCACUCCCGCCAACAAUUAAUCAGAGCCAUGCAUUCAGCUAGCUGCUUGCGGGAAUUGUUGCCGGAUUAGUGGCGGUGUUCUUCCUUCUCAUCCAGAUCCAGUGCAGGUGCUCCUUCUCAUCCAGCCGCUUCGGGUAACACCCCCGUUGCUUUUGGAGGCAGGAUAAGACGAUCCAUGACGGGUGCUACGCGCGUAAGAGACCUAUCAAUCAAUCAAUCAAUCGAUCAACAAUCGUGUAAGCUGGGUAAGUAAAUUACCAGUGCGAGUUCGUUAUUAUCUACUAGUGUAGUGUGCAACGUGUGGCGUCCAAGUCGCGUAACGAUGCUCGGCAAUAACCCCAGUCUAGUGGCAAUCAGCUGGCUAGCGUGAUGGUUACUACCACCACCUUUUCCUGUUAGCUAAAGCGCGCUGCCUAUACUAUACUAUAAUACAAGACCUAACUGAACCCCGCAUGCACAAUCAUGGUAAGUACGUGUUGGUGCCGCUGGUCCUGUGUGCAUCAAGUGGUUCGUUCAGUUGGGCCUCGCUCCGGCCGUCACUUUCACUCGUCAACUGGCGUGUUCGAUGCCUAGCUAGAUCGACCACACUGGCUAGCUGGGUAGUAGUAGCUUAGUUGAUGCCCAUGAUUGUACCACUUUGAAUUUCGGGGUGUUUUUUGAUUGAAUGGCGGUGGUGGCAUGCUAUGAUAACGAUCGUCAUCAAGGUGCAUCCAUCCAUAGAUCGUAUCUGAACCAUGCAUGCUGGUCUGGACGCCUGGUUGUAGAUUUAAAUUCAGAAAUAAAUUCAACAACAGACUAUACAUAUGAUUCAGAAACAAACACGAGCAUCAAAAUCAUAUUGAAAUCCUGAUGAGCUGAAAAUACUGUGUAUAUAUGAUUCCUCUAAGAGCAAGUACAAUAAGGUACAGUCAGCAGGCUGUAAGGAUUAAAAUACUAUAUUUUUGCUGAGUUGGAUGAGAGAGAAGGGAAGCGCACUCUUCGUGAAGAGCCAGCUAUAGCACGUGCUUCUAGAUGCUUUGUGAGAAUGAAAGGUGAGUCAUAUAUGAUAAAAAUAGUACUCUUUUAUAGCUAACUAUUGUACACGCUAGCUAUAAGAUGGGCUAUAAGACUGCUUAUAGCCAGCAGCUAGCUAUACUAUUAACCAUGCUCUAACCAUCCAACAACGGGCUGGUUCGCGGCCGUCCGUGUUUGGAUGGACGUAUGACACGCUGUGGACAACGUAUCCACGUCGUCCUUCGCCGCUAGCUGCGGCUCUACCGCGGCAGUGUGCGACACAAGAUGACACGUAGGGCCUCCACUUGGUUCGACAACGAUCACCGGAUGGACACACACGGAUGGACGGAGCAUCGGACUUGUAUUCGGCGUCGCAUUGUUCUCUCGUUGCACCCACCACCAGUCCGUCGCCGACGACCGCCGUCUCCGCGUCUCCGGAAACAAGUGGGUGGACACACAUCCCAUUCCUUUCCAUUUCAUCAUCGCGAGCGCAAGCCAACGGAUAAUCUCGUGCCAUUUAUUCGCCGGGCCGAAGAAACGUGAGCCAAAUAGAGCGGAGACACCGGUCAAACUAGCUCGCAUCCACGAGAGGGAUGCACACGCAACACACACACACACAUUGUCCAUGAGCCACGUACGUAGUAGUACAUGACAGGAGCGCCCGUCCCCUCACGUACUUGGACUGCCGAGUACCUUUCAUAACGAUAACGAUAAGAUCAACUCUAAUAGGCCCCGCAUUCCGCACCGGCCAACAAAAUAACCGUUAAAUUACGGAUCCAGGUUGGAAAAUUCACACGAUCAUACCUCGCAUCCCGUGCCGACCCGUAAAUUUUUUUGCGGGGCGCGGCAAAUCUUUUCCCCCAACCUCCAUCCUCAAGGGUUCGGAGACCGACCCGAACUGAACCCCUAUCCGGCGGGAGGGACAUUUCCGCGCACCCUUUCCCCGCUCCCCGCACCCUCCGCCAUCAUUGCCCCCCCUCCGCAAACUCCGGUUCCUCCUCCCCGGCCGUUCCUCGCCAUCAUGGAGGACCCCAUGCUGUCCCCCAUCACCGUCCAGGUCGUGCAUGCUCCUUCCCCUCGGGCGGAUCUCGUCGCCGGCCAUGUUUCCCCCGCCGCUGUCGCCCAAGCACACGUCGCGCCUUCCCGAAAAAGGCAGGGCAUCGUGGUCGUGCAGGGCGGGAAUCCGGCUGCCCCCGCCGCGACGGCCCGCACUCCGGGUGCCAACGCCGCAGUGCGAUUCCCGGCCGGCGGCGCAGAAGGCCGGCAAGGCCGCGGGCGUAAAGCGGAGGAAGGUUCCGGCUUCAAGGAAGCCACCUUUAUUCAACCUCUGACUUCACCCCCCCCCCCCGCAAGGAGGUGCUCCGGCGAUGUCGUUGAACGAUUCCGCUCCCCCCGCGGCCGAGGUGUUCGACGAAAUGGCCGGAAGGUAUGCCUCUUCGGUCUUGGCGAUUCCUUUUCAUUUUUCGCCAUUAGUCUUGAUAGCUCAUGACUUGUUAUCGUUCGCUAUAGCAGUGGUUCGAACAAUGCAACAACCGAGUUCAUGAACAUGUUGAACAUGAACGCGGUUGACAUUGAUCAAGCCUCUUUCGAACCAUUCAACUACAAUGAAACGGACGGCGACGUGGAUGAUCAUGGUGCUACGAACGAAUUGGAGGAGAUCGAAGCGGAAGAAAUUUGCACAAGCCCGAUGGCGACAAGAAGACUAAAGAGAAGAUGAAGAGAGAGCAAGAAGCAGCGAGCUUGAGGAAGAAGAUUGAUGCCAUGGUGCAAUCAAACGAGUUGAUGUUGUUGAAGUCGUUGCAGAUCAAGAAAGAGUUGGCCGAGAAGAAGGAAAAAGAGAAGCAAGAAAAAUGGCAAAUGCUCAAGGAAGAGGGGCUCCGCAAAGCUGCCAUUGAGGAGAGAAAAGCACGCGCCUCUGAAACCAAAUCGAUGUCAUUGUUGCUCGCCGAGGAGAACAAGAUCAUGUCAAUGAACCGCAAUGACAUGGACGACCUCACCCAAACAUGGCAUGAUAUGGUAAGGAGAGAGAUCUUGAAGAGGAGAAUGGUCGCCUCGACCGGUCCGUGUUCCAGUUCCGGUGAUGUUUUCUCUUCUCCAUAUGAUGCCAAUGUGGAUGAUUUCGAUGCGGGAGUUGGAACAAACGACGGAGGUGGAUUCGGUGGCACCGAUGAACUUCAAUAUGGACUCCAUGGCGCGGUGUGAAGAUCGAGCCCCAAGAUGAUGCCGGACAUGGGCGCAAACCUUUGCAUGCCCUCUUUUGCGUAAUAAACUUCACUUUUAUUUGCACGCAAACUGUUUAUUUCGUUUGAAUCUGAACUUGUUUGCCAAACCCUAUGUCAAAUGCAAGAUUUGCAGUUUUUGUUUGCGGGUCGUCACGAUGAAGCCCGAGCAGAACCCGCAGAAGCCUAUUCGUAAAAAACAUAUUCUACGGGUUCGUUUGAAGAAUCUGCAUCUGUGUCAGCCCGCGCCGGCCCGCAAAAGUGGUUUUGCGCGAACUGCUAACGCAUUUUGCGGGCCGGCGGGAUGCGGGGUCUGCUAGAGUUGCUCUAAGGUGUGCAUGUGUAUGUUUAUAGGGAUGAGUAUAUGUCUCUAUAUAUAACUGCUUGUAUGUGUACUGUGUUAAAAAAAACUGCUACGUCUUGGUACCUCGAGCCUCGUAAACGGCCUAGCCUAGCAACCACGCCACGCCCAUGACAAAGGAGCAAAAGCGGGGCGAAAAGAGGGGUGAUGGAAGCUGAGAAAAGGAGGGGAGAAAGAAGACCUUCCGGGCACGGGCACGGGCACGGGACUCGUCGCAGCCACGUACCGGUGGAAAGAAGAGUCGAUUGUCCAGAUUUUUUUCUCUCGGCUUGGCAGCGCUAAUUUUAUUUUUCUUUGCUAAUCAUUCGGGGUAAGUAAUCGUGGUUGGCGAAAAGCGCCGCACAUCAUCACAUGGAAAUCGCCGGAAAAGCGUUCGCCAGCCAGGUCGCCUGGCCGCGCGCAAAGCCGACGAGAAAAAAGGAUCGUGCGUACGUAUAUACCCAGCUCAUGGCGGCGGCUACCCUUCUCUUCCCUGACUGACUAGUCAGGGUGAUCGGUUGCCACCAACGAGACGGCCGCAAGUUACUGCCCCCUGCCUGCCGGUGCAUGGCUAUCACAGAGUUUCACAACUCGCAUGAAACACACACAAGAAAAUCAGAUUUUACUUUCUUCGGUCGAAAUAGCCACCGCGUAAUAGCAGAGAUAUUUUUCCAGUAAAAGAUACCUUUUUUAAGUUUGGGGCCUGCUACGCAUCCAUUGACGGAUGUUUACUAAACAUCCACCACUUGGAGGACCGUUCAAUCUACGCAUAGCCGUCCGAUCUGCUCCGGUCAGACAUCUCAUAAUUCCUGAAACGAUGGUUGAGUUGCAGAAAUUUUUGCUUUGUUGCAGGAAAUAAGUUUUGGACCCGUUAAUUCCUGAAACAACGGUCGAGUUUUGGAAAGAAUUUGCUUGUUGCAGGAAUUUGUUUUCUUCGUCUUUCUACAACAUAGGUACUUUUGCAGAAAGAUUUUUUUGUAACAAAGGUCGUGUUUCAGGAAUUUUUGCAACAAAGGUUAGGUUGCAUUUUUUUUUUUGCAAUGUUCAUGAUGCGGCUGGCGGCGACUGGAUGGCUGGUCGGCGGCGUGAGAGGGUGGGGGAGGGGAGGGCCCCGGCAUCGUGGGCGGCGGCGCGGCUGGCACGGCCGAGCGGCGGCGCGGCUGGCAGAUCUGGUCAGCGGGGUUGGAGCGGCGGCGCGGCUGGCAGAUCUGGUCAGCGGGGUUGGAGCGGCGGCACGGCCUGUCGUCUCCAGCAACAGCGAGGUUGGCGUCGCUCGAUCUGGUCAGCGGGAAGGAAUUCGAUAGAUCCGGCAUGAAGGCGGGAGGCACGUGGUGGGACAAUCUCGUCGGCCGUCGUAGGGCGCCGUGGUGCGACAUGCAUCUCCCUGCUCGGGGACUAUGCGGAUGGGUCGAGGCAGCGAGAAAAUAGAUGGACUGGGCAUUCCGCAACUUGCCAUGUGUUGCGCUCGGCAGUUUUGCAACACGACCAAUGUUGCAAUACACUAGUGCGGUAUGAGGAGUGUUGUGCAUCCCACGAUUAAGUGUUGAUCGAACGGUUACGGAGAUGGUCGAUGCGUGCAACCGAUCCCUUGGUUGAUAGGAAACAUUCCCUUUUUUAACUUAAAAUGUAGCAUCAAACAAAUAGCCACAAGUAAAGCUCUAUAAGACGGACACUAUGACUGUGUUGAAGCCGGACGGAUCCGGACAGCAAUGUUGAGAAAAAUAUAAAACAUCUCUGGCCAUACGUUAUGAUCGUGUAUGCAUCAUUUUAACUCCAUACCAUUGAAAUUGUCCACAUACAAAACAAAUGCAUACAACAAAAGUAACCUGCAAUGAAGGAGAGAGUUUGUCACAGAAAACAAAAUAAUUUCUACUUGGCCAAAGCUACAAUAAUAAGUAGACGCUCGCACCCUUAUUAGCAUGUUAAAUCUACUUUGCGUUAUGUCCAGUCUGUCAUUAUAUAUAUUGGUAACAUUUGUGGGCGCGUACAAAUUUUAUGCUAUUUGGAUGUCUGACCAAAAUUGCACAAACUUGUAUUGAAAUAAAGAGGUGUUUGAUCUCCUCGUCGUGAAUACAAAAAUUAUACAUUUUUUACUUCCUUAUCUGUUGCGUCGAACGAGGUUAUCUUUGAUUAGCACGACACCUCCUUAAAGUUACCACAUAAAAAUCUUUAUUCAUAAUGGUGUCUUGGACUUCCAUACUUGGUUAUUAUUAUCUAAUGAAAUUUCAAAAUAUGUGAGGACACAAUACAAAGAGUCGACUGCAAAAGAUCUGAUAUAGUAAGACUUCAGCGAAACAACUCUCGACCUUCUGUCAGCUUGAUGCCUUGAUCAUUUCCGGUCUUGAUCCUUCGACGAUGGAGCUGAAGUAAUCGUCGACUUGGUCCUCCGACGAUGAACGUUGGGUUGACGCCUUCAUCACGACGGAGAAAUCGGACAUCGGCGCGUCGAAGUCCGAGGACGACGAUGAGGAGUAGACUUCUAUCUAUCUAUGCUAUGUAUUUUUUUUAUCAUUUUCUAUCUAUCUAGGCUAUCUAUGCUAUGUAUCGUAUUAAAACUAUGCUAUGUAUCGUUUGAAUUGUCGAUAAAAAUGCAUGUUGGUUUUUGCGUGCCUGCUGAAGUGUCGCGAUGUAAACCAAUUUUCUUACGGCUUUCAUUAGAGCCAGCACUCGUCGACGUGCUAAAAUUAGAUGUGUGCGCCGUAAACUGAUUUUUUUUAUGCGCCGCGUGUUGGGCGUCUGUUGGACAUGCCUCUAAGUCGAAGCCUUACCGGUAGCUAGAUCACACACACCAGACCGGCGACACGAGUCCAAGAGGAGCGUUGAUUGCCAUGCCAUGUACCGGCGGCACGUAAAGCGAACAUGGCGCGUUGUUCCCGUCGUACUAGGCACCGAGCGCGGGAGGCGGCGACAGUCCUUGCGGCGAUAGACGUUAGCGAGGCGGGGUCACAUUCUCUUGUGCCUCAUAUGAUGCACCAUUGCGGGCACUGCAAUCGCGUUGUGGUGGAUGUCGGCUUAACCCAAUAGGGAUCCAUCAUAGAUCUCAUGUCCAUGGGCACCGUCCGGGUUGCAGGCUCCCAUGAGAAAAAACAGAGCAUGAAAGAUGACGGCGCCUUGAUUCCCGUGAACCGGUUCGUGUUUCAUGUCCUAUCUACCUCGCUGAUAACCAGACGAACACUCUAGGAAAUGCAGGCGGAUGAACGACAUGGACACGAUGCGGACGAGAUUUGUUUUAAUAUUUUUAAAUAAAAUAUCGGUUAGAUUUGUGAAAUCUCACUGUAAAUGCUCUAAGUGUAUCUAGUACUAUUUUUUAUUGCUGAGAAUAUGGUACAAUAGUAAUAGAGUUAUAAUGUGCGCCUGUCACCGUCGUCGGCAAGUCUCGUAAGAGCAUCUCCAACAGCCGAGUUAAAAACGCGCACGCGCGUUAAAAGUCCACUUUAGCGUGCCCGGGACGAUUUCACGCGCUCCAACGGAGGCGGAAAAUUGAGGUGCGCGGAAAACGGUUGCGCGCGGGAAAAAGCGCCUAUAAAAUGUAGCGUCCGUCAUGCGCCCUUCCACCGAAACCGUCGCACUCUCGCCUCGUCAUGCGCCCUCCCUCGUCUCGCCACACGCCCCUCUGUCUCUUUUCUCGCCUCGUCAUCGCCACGCCACCAUGCAGUCGCGCCGCCGGGAAACUUCGGGCUACCGCGGCGUCCACGCGCGUCCCUCCGACACCUUCUACGUCGAGAUCUGAUCCGGCGACAUGCGCCUCAGACUCGGCACGUUCGACACCGCCGAGGAUGCCGCCCACGCGUACGACACGGCGUCGUGGCGCCUCAACAGGCCUCGCGCGGGAGAUGAAUUUCUGCAAGGUGAUGACGAUGGAGUGGGCGCAGAACCUCGCGCCUCGUCCAUGGCUUGUCAUCGAAGAGGACCGUCGCCGGAACCAGAGGCAGCAGCGCCUCCUCAGCAUUGCUGAGAUGGACGAGCAUGCCAUGACCGGGUGGUGCCGACACUUCCCGCGGGACGUCCUCGAGAAGCGUGAAUUCUUCGUGCAAAGGAGGGCGGAGAGGGCAGAGCAAGCCGCUUAUCGUGAAGAUAGGCGUACGCGGAAGCAAGCUCACUCCUUCAGAUGGAGCUGAAGUAAUCGUCGACUUGGCCCUCCGACGAUGAACGUUGGGUCGACGCCUUCAUCACGACGGAGGAAUCGGACAUCGGCGCGUCGAAGUCCGAGGACGACGAUGAGGAGUAGACUUCUAUCUAUCUAUGCUAUGUAUUUUUUUUUUAUCAUUUUCUAUCUAUCUAGGCUAUCUAUGCUAUGUAUCGUAUUACAACUAUGCUAUGUAUCGUUUGAAUUGUCGAUAAAAAUGCAUGUUGGUUUUUGCGUGCCUGCUGAAGUGUCGCGAUGUAAACCAAUUUUCUUACAGCUUUCAUUAGAGCCAGCACUCGUCGACGUGCUAAAAUUAGAUGUGUGCGCCGUAAACUGAUUUUUUUUAUGCGCCGCGUGUUGGGCGUCUGUUGGACAUGCCUGUAAGUCGAAGCCUUACCGGUAGCUAGAUCACACACACCAGACCGGCGACACGAGUCCAAGAGGAGCGUUGAUUGCCAUGCCAUGUACCGGCGGCACGUAAAGCGAACAUGGCGCGUUGUUCCCGUCGUACUAGGCACCGAGCGCGGGAGGCGGCGACAGUCCUUGCGGCGAUAGACGUUAGCGAGGCGGGGUCACAUUCUCUUGUGCCUCAUAUGAUGCACCAUUGCGGGCACUGCAAUCGCGUUGUGGUGGAUGUCGGCUCAACCCAAUAGGGAUCCAUCAUAGAUCUCAUGUCCAUGGGCACCGUCCGGGUUGCAGGCUCCCAUGAGAAAAAACAGAGCAUGAAAGAUGACGGCGCCUUGAUUCCCGUGAACCGGUUCGUGUUUCAUGUCCUAUCUACCUCGCUGAUAACCAGACGAACACUCUAGGAAAUGCAGGCGGAUGAACGACAUGGACACGAUGCGGACGAGAUUUGUUUUAAUAUUUUUAAAUAAAAUAUCGGUUAGAUUUGUGAAAUCUCACUGUAAAUGCUCUAAGUGUAUCUAGUACUAUUUCUUAUCGCUGAGAAUAUGGUACAAUAGUAGUAGAGUUAUAAUGUGCGCCUGUCACCGUCGUCGGCAAGUCUCGUAAGAGCAUCUCCAACAGCCGAGUUAAAAACGCGCACGCACGUUAAAAGUCCACUUUAGCGUGCCCGGGACGAUUUCACGCGCUCCAACGAAGGCGGAAAAUUGAGGUGCGCGGGAAACGGUUGCGCGCGGGAAAAAAGCGCCUAUAAAAUGCAGCGUCCGUCAUGCGCCCUUCCACCGAAACCGUCGCACUCUCGCCUCGUCAUGCGCCCUCCCUCGUCUCGCCACACGCCCCUCUGUCUCUUUUCUCGCCUCGUCAUCGCCACGCCACCAUGCAGUCGCGCCGCCGGGAAACUUCGGGCUACCGCGGCGUCCGUGCGCGUCCCUCCGACACCUUCUACGCCGAGAUAUGAUCCGGCGACAUGCGCCUCAGACUCGGCACGUUCGACACCGCCGAGGAUGCCGCCCACGCGUACGACACGGCGUCGUGGCGCCUCAACAGGCCUUGCGCGGGAGAUGAAUUUCUGCAAGAUGAUGACGAUGGAGUGGGCGCAGAACCUCGCGCCUCGUCCAUGGCUUGUCAUCGAAGAGGACCGUCGCCGGAACCAGAGGCAGCAGCGCCUCCUCAGCAUUGCUGAGAUGGACGAGCAUGCCAUGACCGGGUGGUGCCGACACUUCCCGCGGGACGUCCUCGAGAAGCGUGAAUUCUUCGUGCAAAGGAGGGCGGAGAGGGCAGAGCAAGCCGCUUAUCGUGAAGAUAGACGUACGCGGAAGCAAGCUCACUCCUUUAGAUGGAGCUGAAGGAAUCGGCAACUUGGUCCUCCGACGAUGAACGCUGGGUUGACGCCUUCAUCACGACGGAGGAAUCGGACAUCGGCGCGUCGGAGUCCGAGGACGACGAUGAGGAGUAGACUUCUAUCUAUCUAUGCUAUGUUAUGUAUUGUUUUUUAUAUCAAUUUCUAUCUAUUUAGGUUAUCUAUGCUAUGCAUCAUUUUAAAACUAUGCUAUUUAUUGUUUGAAUUGUCUGUGUUUGAUGAAAAUGCAUGUUGGUUUUUGCGUGUCUGCUAGAGUGUCGAGCACUCGUCAAAUUUUACGCCUUCCGUUGAAGCCAGCCCUCGCCGAUGUAUUAACAUUAGAUGUGCGCGUGUUGUAAACUGAUUUUUUGUACGCCGACGUCCGUUGAAGAUGCUUCUAAGUCGGAGCCUCACCGGUAGCUAGAUCACACACACCAGACCGGCGACACGAGUCCAAGAGAAGCGUUGAGUGCCACGCCAUUGCCAUGCCAUGUACCGGCGGCACGUAAAGCGAAUCACAAUCACUUGCAACUUUCUUCAAUUGCAUGCACUCCUCCACACGCCUGGCCUAUCUACCUGUAUAUGCGCGUCCACCAUCACCAUGGCCCCGCCGCCCCCCCGCCGGACAGCCUUUGACGACUCCCUCCGACGGAGCCUCCUCCUCUGCCACGCGCCUAUAAAACGCCCCGCCCCUCGCCGCCCCUUCCAUCCAUUCAAACCCCUCUGCUCUGCUCCUCCCCUCCCGCACAGCACGCCGUCUUCCGACCCCUUCUCCCCCUCCCCGUAGCCGCCUUGCUCGCUCGCUUGCUUGCUUGCGCGUCUGAAGAUGGCGAGGUCGUCGUCGCCGAUGGCGAGGCAGCUGCAGCUGCUGCUCGUGGUGCUGUGUGCGUCGUGGCUGGCCUUGCAGGCGGCGGCGCAGAAGUACAAUGCGGUGUACAGCUUCGGCGACUCGAUCACGGACACGGGCAACCUGUGCACCAACGGGCGGCCGUCGGCGAUCACCUUCACGCAGCCGCCCUACGGCGAGACCUACUUCGGGAGCCCCACCUGCCGCUGCUCCGACGGCCGCGUCAUCGUCGACUUCCUCAGCACCAAGUACGGCCUCCCCUUCCUGCCCCCCUCCAAGUCCACCUCCGCCGACUUCAAGAAGGGCGCCAACAUGGCCAUCACCGGCGCCACCGCCAUGGACGCCCCCUUCUUCCGCUCCCUCGGCCUCUCCGACAAGAUCUGGAACAACGGGCCCAUCAGCUUCCAGCUCCAGUGGUUCCAGACCAUCACCUCCUCCGUCUGCGGCAGCAGUGAGUCCACAGUCCACCAUGCUUUUCUUUCCUUUCUUCAAAGCCCACCAUGUCUGCAGACUGCAGGGCAUGCUCUGCUCCUCCCUUAAUACUCUAGUACGAGCAGCAUAAUUUCCUGCGCCAUCCAGCUGUCUCCCCCGCCACUGCCACUGCCACUGCCAUGCCGCCAAUCAAGAACUUUACUCACUGUCCAUGGAGGCAUGGACCCUAGCCAUGCCUGCCUGAUUCUUGACUAGUCUUUCUGAUCUGAUGAUGCAGGCUGCAAGAGCUACCUGGCCAACUCGCUCUUCAUCUUCGGGGAGUUCGGGGGGAACGACUACAACGCGAUGCUGUUCGGCAACUACAACACGGACCAGGCGAGCACGUACGCGCCGCAGAUCGUGGACACCAUCUCCGCCGGCGUGGAGAAGCUGGUGGCGAUGGGGGCGACGGACGUGGUGGUGCCGGGCGUGCUCCCCAUCGGCUGCUUCCCCAUCUACCUCACCAUCUACGGCACCUCCAGCGCCGCCGACUACGACUCCCUCGGCUGCCUCAAGAAGUUCAACGACCUCUCCACGUACCACAACAGCCUGCUCCAGGCCAAGGUGUCCACCCUCCAGGCCAAGUACAAGUCGGCCCGCAUCAUGUACGCCGACUUCUACGCCGGCGUCUACGACAUGGUCCGGAGCCCCAGCAAAUACGGUACGUCUACAUGCCUACACACUAGUCAUAAUACGUACUGGAGGACAUGAUUUCAUGCACACGCCGGCGGCUAGUCUCGCCGUGGCGGCACUGUGGGUGGGUGGAUUUCAGUUUUCAAACUCGCCGUGGACCACGUCCUCCGUUGUCGGCGCAGAGCGUUUCUCGUUGUUGGACGCGCCCGUCACGCUCUGUCCUGGCAGUGCGGCAGCACCAGCACGGGACAUGCAUGCAUGGUGGCGGGAUUAAAUGAAGGAUUAUUCGGCGUUUAAGGCUCAUGCAGUGCCGCACUGCUGCACCACACCACUUGCUCUGCACUGCUGGCCGGUAGCGUGGUCACCACCACAUGCCCGUCCGUGCGUCCGUGCGUGCGACGGCCGUAGGGACGGAUUCCUGCCGUUAGCCCGGGCUGCGCGCUCCGGCGCCGGCCGUGGGAGCGUGAUCGUGUCCAGUGCCCAGUCCUGCCUGCACGCGGUCGAUCGCCGGCCGGUGAAUAGAAAACUAGGUCGCGGGCCGACACGGGCGCGCUCGUGAUCCCGAGCGAGUAACGACAUCCCAUCACGGGGAAAAUAAUGGCGGAUGCGCGGGGUUUGGUAGGCGCUGUUCCUUUAAAAUCGGCGCUACUUGCAGAAGCAAACAGCCGUUGCUCUGUUUCCCCAACCCAACACAUGCAUGCAGCCCCGGUGGCGGUGGGUGGUGAACGCCCGCCGGGACACACGCCACUGCUCCCGCACGUUGCCGAUCGGUCUCAAAACCCUCGGAAUCUUCGUACGAGGGAUCCAUCCAUGAUGGAUGCUGGAUAUUGCAGAGCAAGAAACCAAAACGAUGAACCAACGAACACUGUGGUGUGGUGUGGUAUGAUAUGAUUCCGAUUCAAGAUCUGACUCGCGUGGAUGUGGAAUGCAGGUUUCAGCUCGGUGUUCGAGGCGUGCUGCGGGUCGGGGGGAGGCAAGUACAACUACGCCAACAGCGCGAGGUGCGGCAUGUCCGGCGCCUCCGCAUGCGCCAGCCCGGCGUCGCACCUCAGCUGGGACGGCAUCCACCUCACCGAGGCCGCAUACAAGCAGAUCACCGACGGAUGGCUCAACGGCGCCUUCUGCCACCCCGCCAUCACCCACUAGCCACCCCACCUCAGUCCGUGCAUGCAUGCAUGGGCGCAUCAAAAACCUCAUCGUCGUCGUCGUCCAUGAAUCCAUAAUCAAUCAAUCAAUCAACCGAUCGAUUAUCAUUAUAUUAUUAUUAUAAUUAUUAUUAUUUGUUCAGUCGGGUUAACUAUCAUAACGUGUCUGGGGACCGGCCAAGGCUAAGGUUCCCGGUCUGAUCCGGUGGCAAAAGAAUCGGGGCGCGUCUGUGGUGACGAGUGAAGAAGGAAGAAGAAGAAGAUGACGGCAAGCGUCGUGGAAUAGUAGUGCGGCCCGUGCUGCUGUUGUUGUUGUGAACCUGUAACCUGAUAGUAGUAAUUGUUUUGUCCCAUGGAUGGAAAAAAAUAAUGAAAAGGAAAGAAAUAAUGCAAGGAACUUUCUGCCGUGGCGGCUAGGAAUUUGGUUUGGAUCUUUCGCCCUGGCGCACGGGGUCAUGUGUGGUGUGGUCGGAGCUUUUCGGUAAAGACACUGCACAAAUCCCGCCGACUAGUCUAGUAAGUAGACACUGUGGUGGUCGCUCGUCGGGGCAGAGCCCGUGACAACGACGGACAAACCUGGGCAACGGCUCCUAUCCUGUCCUCCAUGAUUGACAGGUGAACGGAGUACCGCUGAUCACCGUGGCGUUUCAUCUCCGUGGAACAGCAAGCUGCGUCCCAAACGGACGCACGAAUUUGUCCGUUUUUCCUUCGUUUGGCUCGACCGAGCGGACACCAGUGUCCGCUUUUUUAAAUGGAUCAGUCAGACCAGACCGUCCAACGCAGGUUCGGAUGCAAACAAUUGAUAAACAUAAUUAAACAUUAAAAGGCCGGUCAAAGCCGGCCCAAGUCCACAUAAAACAUAAUUAAACAUAAAUAAAAAAACGCGGACGCCCUCGGCCGUCCUACGCAUCGUCUUCGUUGUCGUCGUCGGGGAGGUGAGGUCGAUGAGCUCCGGGACCGGCCCAGCCCAAGGGAACGCUCCCUCCCACGCCUGAGCAGCGUCCUUGCCCGGCAGCAUCGACGGCGUAGGCUGAUGGGCUCGCUCCUCCUCCUUCCGCUUCCGACGCUCCGCCUCCUCCUCCUCCUCACGCCUGCGCUCGAGCUUCAUCUGCUCCGCCGCCUCGGCCUCCUCCCUCGCCAGUGCCAGCGACUUAUGAUGCAGGAGGUACUCUUUCUCCUCCUCCGUGCACACAUACCAGACGGGAGGCGCGGACAUCCACUACAGGAGCUGGCUAGUCCACUGGUAGGUGUGUGGCUGGCGCGCCUCGGCCUCAGCGGCCGGCGAAGAUCGAGGAGGGGGCACGACGCAGUCGCCCCCCGCGGACAGCGCAAGGACCUUUUCGAGACCUACCCAGCGCACAUCCUCUUCGCGCCUGCUCUCCUCGAUGGCGUAGGUUGUUGCCUCCUCCUCCUGCUCCUCUGGCAUCACUUGAGGGGGCGGUGGAGGGAUGGCCGUAUCGAACUGGGCGCCGUGGAUGCGCUCCCGCUCGUGCUCGACGGCGAACCAAACCUCCCAUUCAGGAGAGUCGGCCGCGUACGUCGGGUCGUGCCGCUGCUCUAGAGUGAGGAGCGCGCCGCCGGCGGACCUCCUCCGCGUGCGCGUGCAGACCGCGACACUGCUGGGAUAGGGAUGCGGUCGGGGUCCAGAUGCCAACCUUGGGGGAGGUUGACAUCUGGGUAGGACAAAGCUUGCAUGUACUGCCAGUGCCACCGAGCAUGGUGGACUGGGAUGUACACGCGCUCCCGCGAUGACGCCGACACCUUGGACGAGCUCGCGCCGGCGGUGAGCUUGCCCUUGCCCUUGCCGAAGAAGCCCAUGGCUAGGGUUGCGUGGUCGCUGUCGGGGAAGCAAGCGUGGCUAGAUGUGGACGGGAGGGGAAAGUGGAUGAGGCCGACCCCAACACACGCUUUGGAAUAAAAAAGGACCCAUGACCACCUUCCACCCACUGCCAGGCGGGCCCGUAGGUAGGUGGUUGCAUUUAAUACGACCGGAGAGUCGUUGGCCGGCCGACGAGUGGGGCCGAGGCGGACACGAACGGGACGCGCGGCGAGUCCGCUCGGCGUCCGCGACGACGCAAAUCCGCCCUAAAUGUGGACCUGAAAUGGGUUGACGCGGACAUGAAACAAACGCGAUUUGGGACUAGGUCGGCGCGUUGGGCGCCUGUUUUCGUCCGCUGCGACCCAAACGGACGCGGACGGACGAAAUGGUGUGUGGGGCGUCCACUUCGCGUCUGCGCCGAUGCAGCCAUGGUCGCCGACGCAUGGACCCGACGAUGACGGGCGUCAUAAAUUAUGUUGAUCGCGGUGGUUGGGACGGACACCGAGGGUGCGCGCGCGUCCACUUCACGUCCGCGCCAACGCAUUUCAGUCCCAAAUUUAGACCGAAAAUGAAUUGUCGUGGAUGCGUUUUGGCAAUGGGUCUACGCGUUGGACCAUCAUUUUUAUUCGCGCCGACCCAAACGAACGGCGACGGACGAAAUGGAUGGCAAGUUGCUCUUGGUGCGAGAUUCGCUCGUUAGGCGGAUAGGGUGCGGUGCACAGGCCAUUCGGACAGCGAGUGAUGUCGACUCGUGGGUCUUGACGGCCGAAUCUCUCUCAACCACCACGUCGAAUCAGCUUGAAUACAAGGGAGUGAGUGAAUGCGUACUCUUUCGCAAGUGGCCGACGACGCGGGGCGAAAGCGGACUGAGCUUUUCUUUGUUAGCUGGAGUCCGUGGACUUGCUAGACCCCAGAGACAGCUACGCGCUCUACCACAAGACCCAUCAUCAUCGUCAUCAUCCUUGCGAGCAGGAGGAUCCUUCCCAUUCAAUGCUGCCACCAACGUCUCUACUACUUCCCUAGUUGGCGACACGGCAGUGUCAUACCGGUGUCGGGAACUCGAGGAUGGCAUCUUGGCAAAAAAAAGGAUUCAAUCGAGCAGUCCAUAUCCUUUACUCCAAUCUUUCAAGAAUGAGCUGAUUGGCGCAGAAGGCAAAAGAACGUAUGGGGCGCUACUCAAUUUGUACUACCGCAUUUUUUUUCCCUUCUAUACAACAAAACUUUUGUCACGACGACGGCGCAUCCGACGGUAAUGAUAAUACAGUUGUGGUUAAAAAGCAGGGUAAGAAUGCGCUGCAACUGCGGCGUGGUGUGGCGCCGCGCCUGAAUCGCACGACGCAGCUGUCUCGUCAGUGUGCCUGGUAUGCUCUUGCAAAACGGCAAUCAUUGUACGUACUACCUGGUGACGGAAUCGAAUCGAAUCGGAUGGUGUAGGCACCCCAAGAAUCUAUUGGGUCAACCGACCAUUUGUGUCAUCAUCAUGGCACGUCCAUCGCCUGGUCCAUGCCUCCAUGGCUGGCUCCCUGUGUCUCCAGACCAAGCAAGCAUCACUCGUCAUCGGUUUCGGUUUCGGCCGCCUCCGUCGGACCACCGGUGCACUCUUUCCGCCGGUGAAGCUCCAGCAUCUUUACCUCUGGGUGGCAUAGCCCUGGAUGAGAGCAGACAGAAACGCGUUACAUUUACGGAUGCGCCUUCUGGUAAAAGGUCGUGGCCCCGGGGCAGAUAAAAUCUUGAAUGUGAAAGAUCCACAUUUCAUCAAGCGCUUUUGCUCUGGUAAAGUCGGGUCAAAGAUAGAAAUUAAUGAAGGAAAUAACCUGAACAUUUUGGGAUGUCCCAGACGGCAAUCGAGGAUGCCGUGCACUCGGGCUCGCAGAGGGCAUGGGUGUUCUCGUGGUUGACGUUCAUAGCAAGCAUCCAGGAUCCAAUGGUAACGUCCUCGUUGUUGAACAUUCGGAAACUGGACAAAUAUAGGUAAGAAUAUGUUAAACAAACAGAUACAUGCUUCGGUUUGAGGUUGGACAAUGAUGCAAAGCAACCGGCUCACAAUAUAUUUAAAAUAAUUUAGGUUAAAAACUGUCAAUUUGCGACUGUAGCCUACUACAGGCAUAAUAACAUUACAAUUGUGACUCUUUACUGUAGCUCUAUAACCAGUCCAGCCACAGGAAAGGAAAGUUCGCCUAACCACAUCAUUUACUAAUAGCUGAAAGAGACAUGACCACAAGCCCUAUCCAUGUCAGGUAUAACUUUCACGCUUUGGCAUAUGCUUUCAACAUGAGGGAAUCUGGCCAUAACUAACAUAUCACAAAAUAUUGCAGCCUGUAUAAGGAAUGUUCCCUGUCAAGACUUGUUUUCAAAUUGACACUAGGGACUGAAAAAAUGUUUUAAGCUCGUUGCCAAGCAGUCAAUGACAAACUGACACCAGGGGAGUGAAAAAAUGUUUUAAGCUCGUUGCCAAGCAGUAGGGCAUUUUGCUGGCACUUCAUGACUAUAGCAUAUUAGCAUGACUACUUGAUAGUUGGUGCUAGGGGCGAAUUGCACCUCACCAUCGCAAAGAUAACACAAGUUGUAAAGUGUCAUUCAUGUGUCACUAACAUGUGGCCCCAGGGCACUUUUUAGGUAUACAUCUUUCUGUGGUACUAAGUUAAAAAAAAGUUUGGUACCAGUUGGCUUGCUGAGACCCAAAAAUAAUAUUUACUGGUACAGCUAAACAUGCUUAUGUGCAAGAUGGCGAGUUUUAGAAUAUUUACCUGUUGUUUCUCAGAGCAACCAAGCUUGCCACCACAUCAGCUGAUAAAGCAUAAAUAGGCCCAUAUGCAUGAAGGAAGUAUUCUGAUCCAAGUAGGAAGGACUGUGGCUCAUACCUGUGUUCAUCAAAAGAGCACAAUCAAGAACAAUAAGUAGGCAGCGACGAGUGCUACACAGUAUAAUUGCCCCGGUAGAGUGUUCGCAAAUACAAAAAAAAAAUGGUAUGAAUUGCGCUCUAGGUCCCUGAACCUAUACACUGUAUGUUUUAUAUACCCCUAAACUUGCAGUUCCAUUUAGAGACCCCCCCCACCCCACCCCACCACCACCACCACCACACACACACUCACCAACCGGAUCCAGUUAUUAAAUGAAAACACAUCGAUCACACGCAGGUUCAAACAGUAACAAAUCCGGGAACAUACAAGCCCUGUUGUGAAUAUAGGCAUGACCGUAACUACACAUUUUGCAUCCAAGUUUGUUCCUGUUAUUCCAAACCCUGAACAAAGGGAUUCACUAAAUACACAAUUUGCAUCCUCGUUUGUUUUGUUAUUCUAAACACUGAACAAAGGGGUUUACCAAGUACUGGUAUGUGGUAUCGUGUUUGAUAUCUUAAUAUACCAAUUACCAAACAUAUACAGCCUUAAGUUUAGUACUACUGCCACCUUUUGCAUGUUUUUUUAAGUUAAUUUUGAUGUGUUAGUAGUACAGAGAACUGUUAACUUCAGGGAUCACAAAUAAAUUGCAAGAUCGGGAAUCUAACUGAUAGAACCAUUAAUAUUUCGUGAAAUAACAGAUUGAGUUACAUCAAGUGUUGAUCCAAGUGAUACAAAUAGAAGUUCAGAGAUAGGAUCAUAUCAAAUUGCAAGGCUACCAACCUAACUAACACAAAUAUGCAGGUUUAGGAACCAAUGGCCAAAUUCACUCAAAUAAAUGUUUCACCUAGGUAGCUAAUAUUGGUUGAGCUUACAUCAAGUCAUCAAAUAAGUUAGUUUCACUCCUUAACUACAGAUAUGAGUGACAGAAGACAAAUAUCCUAGUUUUGGAUGCACGAAAAGUUAUCUUUGCCCUGUCCAUUAACCUUUCGCACAUACUUGCAAAAUUCACUAUCGUGAAUGAUAAGACUCAUAGUCAGCAUAAAUAGUACUUCCUCCGUACCUAAAUACUCCCUCCGUCCCAAAAUUCUUGUCUUAGAUUUGUCUAGAUAUGAAUGUAUCUAGUCAUGUUUUAGUAUUUAGAAACAUCCAUUUCUAGAUAAACCUAAGACAAGAAUUUUGGGACGGAGGGAGUAUAAGUCUUUUAAGAGAUUUCAUUAAGGGUCUACAUACGGAACAAAAUGAAUGAAUCUACACACUAAAGUAUGUCUAUAUACAUCCUUAUGUAGUUCACUAGUGGAACCUCUAAGAAGACUUAUAUUUAGAAACGGGGGGAGUAUAUUCAAUUAUCCAAAGAUAACCAACUUUCUCCAGGUCAUAUGUCGAUGCUAAGCAGCACAUAGCAUAUUCACCGAGGAAAACAAACUCCUUGAUAUUCCUAAACUAAUCGAGAGGAGAUCAUUAUCAAACAUCCAAACUUUGUCCAACAUCACUUAGGCCUCCUACAACUGAUUAGGCAAUAAGGUUUGUACACACAGAUGGUGAGCUUUGUUUUCCGAAAUUAAUGCAUGUCAAAGUAAGCUGAAGCUUAACACUUGAAGAAACAUUAGCAUUCACGUGCAUCCAUAGUGUGUUUUUUUUUAUACAAAAUUACCAUUUUUAACUUUUUACUGGUCACUUACACUGAAAUAUUAUCUUAUAAGUUGAUCCAGACAUUUAAAAAUAUAUCAGCAAUCAAAGUUAGAAAUAUUUGACAAGAAAAAAUACAGAACAGACAACUGGAGUACAUUAUUAUCGGAGAGAGCAGAACUUGACAAAAGGCAUAGCCACUAAAGGUAGCGAGCAUGAUUUUUUUUUAGCCAAACCAACCCUGACCAGAUUUUGUAUCCAGAAGCCUUAACCACUUAAAAACAGUCCAUUACCUCAUUCCAUGGUAACCAUUGCAUACCCUUCCAAUACUCGAGCACAAUUGUUGGCUCUAAACGACAUAUAUCUCAGGAAGCUCAGAAAGUAAUUAUGAAAAAACAUGCGUAUAUGGAAGUACUAGACCCAAUCCAAAAGAGUUAUCAUCGCUGAACAUAGAAAAACAAAUUUAGGCCCUUACAGCAAAUGUUGCCUACUAGACCAAUCCAUGUGAGCCCCACUACUUCCUUAUAUCCUAUGAUAUGAAAGCACUAGACCCAAUCCAAAACAGUUAUCAGCGCUGAACAUAGAAAAAAAAAUAGGCCGUUAUGGUAAAUGUUGCCCACUACUUCCAUAUAUCCUAUGUGAGCUCCACUACUUCCAUAUAUCCUAUGAUGUAAAGCAGGAAGUGGCGUACAAUCAAUGCAGAGACACCAUUACAGGUGAAACAAGGAUCACUGACGGCACCACUCCUUGCCCACCAGACAAUGCCAAUCAUUUUGAUUUCAGACAACUAUAAUGAAUCUUAACACAAAUACUUCUGAGACCAUAAGACUACAGUUUUGAUGCAAUACUUAUGCUGUAGAAUGAAAAUUCACUUCUCGGUCAGGUUUUGCAGUAUUAGCUACUUUCCAUAUAUUUAGCAUGUAACUGUAUGUAUUGCUUCUUAGAGUUAAACAUCCCUUACAAGGAAAAGUGUUGGGUAAAAAAUGAAAAGAAGAAACUAACCAUUUCAAUUUGGGAUCAGUGAAAACAGGCCCCUUCUUCAUGCAUCCAAUGUAUGUUUGUGGGUGUGGACGUUCCUUCGCCAAAAGCAAGGAGAGUCUAUCUGCAGAUUAGAAAUUGAUGAUGGAAGUGCCAACCUUUCAAAAAGAAAAAAAUGUGCAUGUUGGUCAAAGCUACUAAGAGCAUAUAUCUUGAAUAUCGUUAGUUUCUUGCUCACCUGGUCUCAAGUAAAUGUCAUCGUCAGCUUUAACAUAGAAAUCAGAAUCAAAUAACGCAUAGGCAGCCUUAAAGAAUGCUAACCUAAAACAUAAGAUCAAAUCAGUUUCCAUAUGAAGAGAUAACGCAAUGAUAUGAUACUAGUUAAACUGUUUACGUUUUGUAUGGAAGCCUGCUAUACUCCUCCUCGAGAUCUAAAAGCACAAAAUCAUCAUAUUCUUCAACCUCUCUUUCAAGAGCUGUCAUCUUAGACUUGUCAUUGCUUUUGCCGAUCACAAAUCUGAAUGCCAGACCAGUAGCUUCCUCCAACCUGCAUUAAAGUGAACACAAUGAGAACUGCAAGAGCACUUAAGAAGCAGCAUCACUGGAUAGAAACCAAAAUAAAAACUAGUUGUGACAAUCAUCAAGCAACAUAACUGGGGUCACAUUUAUCACUAGAACUCUAGAAGCAAAUGUAAAAAUUCCCUGUACAAAACAAUAGAUUGUCCAGCUUCAUGCAUUAUUCUUCAAACUCAAGAAAGAAAAUAAUUAAUCACUAUUCAUCAGUGCUAAUGAGACAGAGUCCAGCAAUUCAAAAGGAUCAAUACCGUUCUUCUAGAGUAGUAGCAUGAUUCCACUAAAAUCAUGAGUAUAUCGCAAACUCGCAGGAGUUAUGUCUAGAGAACCACCAACGCAGAAGAAUUGGCAAGUCUGAUGCCACAGCAGAUAACUCAUAAUCAAACUCAAGGAGCAAAUAUAGAAACAAAUGAAUCCAAUAUCCAUAUGAUCGAUAAGGCGAACUUUCCAUAUGAAUGGAUGAAUGAAUUAGCCAGCUCUUGAUCAUAAAAAUUAAUUGACCAGCAAUGACUUAUGUUAGCGAACGAGAACUAUAAUAGGCACGGGAUGAUUCGAAUACACCGCAGUCAAAAACAAAAUCUAGAUCACAGAAAUGGACGAACGGAAUGCUAGGUAACCAACCAGAUCAACAGUCGAGCGCUAAAGCUAGAUCUCGAGCAACACAGGCGAACAUGAACUAGGAAGCUGCGGUACCAGCGACAACUAACCGAAGGAGGCCCUGCCGAUCGGAGGGGAGCCACGUCCGCCUGAGCGCGCGGCGGCGGCCGACGGAGCCGAACCCGGUGAAGAUCCCGACGAAGGCCAUGACCUUGUGCCUGCCGCGCGAUCCGGUGGCGUGGCCCGCCGGGAACUCGGUAGCGCCGCCCGCGGCAUCCCCGGGGCGCCGGUCCCAGGCGACGGAGACGGAGAGCGGGUGGGAGGAGUCCGGGCAGCGGCCGCGCGGGGCCUCGGCUGGCCCCCGGGAGAGGGAGACGGCAGCGGCGAGGAACCCGGUGAGGCCGAAGAGGAGGCAGGCCGCGGAGACGGCCGGCGAGGAGAGGAGGCGGCGGAGCGAGGAGCGUCGCGAGGCUGCGGCCGCCGAGGAGGAGAACACCUUGGGCGAGCUGGGCAUGGCUGCGACCGCGCUGCCCUGCCGCGAGUGUGGCGGGCGGGGGCCGGGGCUGCGGCCGGUUGGUGGGGCAGCGGCGGCGUCAGAUCGGAGAAGGGAGAGUGGUGGCGGAGCGGAAAAUGGGUGCGCGACAGUGUGACGGCAGAUCGCCCGUUUUGCAUUGGUUUUUUUUUUUAAUGGUUGCUUUGGGUUGUUGGUGUGGUGUGACUGGAAAUGGUGUGUGUGCUGGGCUGGGCUGGGCUUGGUGCCUUGGUCUAGAACUCUAAUUUUUUUGGAAGCAAUCUCUUUACUAUUAAAGGGGAUGUGCCGUUGUCGUGAUGGUUCAACUGGUUUGAUCUCCCACCCUCCUAUUGAUACCUUCCCCACCCACAUCCUUUCAUCGAUUUUUUUUAUCCCUCCGAAAACCAGUGGCGAGUAAACCAGCGAACCGGGCGGACCAGAGAUAAGAAACCACCUCCUUCGUUCGUGACCAACUCCUACGAUCGCCAACAAAAAAAGAACUGCCCGAAACAAAGCAAGCCCACGCACGAACACAGGGAUCGUUCCCCACCCACGACUCCAUCUGUACGCCACCAAAAUCAACCGGCGAUCUCUUUAGCGCUGCAUCGUUCGCGUCGCGCUUCUUCCUCUGUCCAUCGACGAUCCGCCCCCCACCGCUACAUCGCCCCCUCAAGCCAGAUCCGCCGCUCCUGGCCCCUAGCACUCAGCCGCGACCCCCCUCCCCUGUGCUUAGGGUUUGUGCCAGACAUCUUCUCGAACACCAGCGCGACUCCAGCGACCUUGGUCGGUCCUUUCUAUCGCUUACAACGGCAUCUCGCACCUCCAAGUUCCCGGCGGCGACUGUGUGGACCAUGACGGCGGCUACGAAUCUGAGCUAAACACCACCUCGCACUGCGUUCGCGAACCGGUGGAUGCCUAGAUCCAUCAUGACCACACGUUGCUUCGGCCGUCAUGAAGGGCCUCAAGGAGGUUCUAGAGGUCUGCCCUCCUCUCUCGCCAUCUCUUACAAUUUUGUGUUAUUCUAUGUCGAUUCAGUUACAGUAGGUUAUACCUGGUUGAUGAACAAAUGAAUGCAUAAUAAGUGCUUAAUUCAGUUAGAGAGAAAGCUAAACUAAAUUGCAAUUUAGAUGUAUUCUCAUUGUAAGGUCAACAUUCAAAUACAUACAUACUUGCCUGUAGUUCCUAAUUUCUCCACGCACAAACAUUAUUGGGUGUACCAUUGACCGAAGCAAUCCAUCACAUUAAACUUUUGAACCUAUAAUUUGUGACGUAUUUUUAUGGGAUUGGUUAGAACUCAUCUAGCCGAGACAUAACUAUGGUCUCAUUCACCUUGUAUUUUUAUAAGGAGCAUGACGUCAAUCCCUCUCGUGGCUACCAGUGGAGAGGGUCAGCUGUCAUGUGUUCCUGUUGGUGGUUUGAAUGGCGCCGCCAACACCGCCUGAUGCUGGGUCAACAGAUGUCGCCCCCCGUGCCUGUUGCCGCCCCAUGCUGGAUUACCUCUACCAACGAAGCCACCCUCAAACUAGAGAAGUCAAAGUUGAUCGGCCGCCCAUGCCAUGGUGCUCACCGAGGUUCCAGACCGCAACAAGGCCGGCUUGUUCUGAGAGACAUGCCUCAUGAACACCUAUGAAUGCACGAUCCUCGAUCUUCCGCCACCAGAAUUCUGGUACGUUUCAUUGCAUGAUAUAUCAUUGUGGUUAUUUUUUUUAGAUUAGCUUAACCCAUCGAUUGGCCAUGCCCUGCUUUAUGGUAAUCUCUCGAUGUUUUAAACUAUCAUUAUUAAAGGAGGAUCUGUUGUCGUGAUGGUUCAACCUAUUUAUCCCCUUCAGUUCCCACGUAUGAACGCUCUCACACCAUCGCACUAGCCAGAAAAAAAAUCAACCCCACCUCUAACGCGAGAACCAACCCAAGUCAGAUGGGAAAAAACAAAGACGCUAUUAUGAACAAACUGCAGGCACGCACUAUCACGCCAUGCCCCCACGAUCCCUCCCAACUACUCCUCACAAUCGCAGCAAUCCCCUUCCUCUCGUUGUUUCCUCUGCCCCAAUCACUCUCCUCGAGACGAGAUCUCUACAAUCCCCCUCCUCCAGCUGCCUCCCCUUCUCGAAUCACUCUCCUCGGAGGGCCAAGCGAGGAGCUGAAGUAUACAAGACCGUACGGGUGGAGUAGAUGGCUGGCCAGCUCUGUCUAAUGCGGCCUGCCUCCUUGAGGGCCUCACUGUUGACGACUACGCAGUGUAGAUGGGGACCCGGGAGGGGUUGGAGGAUGGGUGAAGUUGCCGUUGUAGUUGACCCGUGGCACCGUCGGUGAGAUACGACCCACUGCUGGAGGGAAGGAAGGAGCCAAGGACGCCCAGCGCUGCCGCGAAUCCCAUCUUGAUAUUCGUCAACACUGGCCAAUUCUGGCCUGAAGCUUUCGCUGUCAGGUACAUCCACCUGCAAUUUCCAGAAUCUGCUUUGCUCUUGUGCGCUUGAAUUCUUAUGGGCAGUUGCAAAUUGUAACGAACUGAAUCAGAUGUUGUUUCUUAUGAACUUAACCGAAUUUCAUUUUAGCUUUAAUUUUGAAUGGUGUGCUCAUCAAUUGAAGAGUUCUAUGAAGAGGAGGACAGCAAUGACGAGGACGUCGAGCUGGUGGAACUACCUGGCUGUAGGGACACGCAUCAGCUUUUUUGGUCAGUCAACUCAAAGGUUCGCGUAAUGUCUUUAGCUUAUGUAUAUUAGUAUGUAGCCUGUGGAACAAGGUAUGCUUAAUUUGUGAGAAAUUUGAAGCUAAGUUAGGUUCAUAUGUUUUUCGAAUAACAGAAUAUAUAGCUUUCCAUCUCAGUUUCAGCAAUUCAAGUUUUGGCUGACCUUUUUGCAAGCAUAGCAGGCUGUUCGAAUUUGGCCAGUAGUGAGGAGGGAAACUCCAUAUCCAUCCACUCGUUGAAACAUCAUACUGCUAAGAUUAAUAUUGAACAUUAAGGUUGAUCUAACUUUUGCUAAGCAAACCAUCAUGCUUGAGGUUGAGGUUAUUUUCCUAUCUUUAGAAGUAUGAUUUAAGGAUAGUGGGUACUCUUGUUACAAGCAUAUUCAUCAUUCUAUUCUAUGGUAUUUUCUCUGUGUCGUUUUAGAUUGGAGAACAUUCAGAGAAAUGAUAGUUGUAUUGGAUUGGAGAACAUUCAGAGAAAUGAUAGUUGUAUUAAAUUGGAGAACAUUCAGAGAAUGAUAAUCUUGGCAAGCGUUUGCUUUUUCUGUUCUAAUUUACUACUCAACGCGAUAAAUAAUAAAUAAAUAAAUAUGAGACAGAAGUUCUACCGUAACAUAUUUUGUGAUGGUACUAGCUAUCCUUGAAACAAUAUUCACACAAAAGACACAUUCCUUCAAGUUUUCUUGCUCAUUCUACUAUUGGUUGUUGACAUGUUACAGUUGACUGAUGUUCCGUUGUUACAUGUCAAUAUGCCCCUAUAUUUGCACCAUUGUUAGUAAAAUUUAUUUCUAGACUUUAUGUCAUUUGGGCCUCAUUUUAUAUUUUGACCAAAUCAUAUUUUGAACUCAAUUUAUUUUAUUUUAAAAUUUCCGGUCAAAUCUAUUAAUGUGCAUGAUGCCACUUAGAAUUAUUUUGUAAUUACUGCUACGAAUAAAGAUUGGUUCUUCUAUGAUAUUUUAACAUGUUCUUGCCUCUCAUAGGUCCACUCACACACAGACUACACUCAAUAGUUUCCAUGCGUGCACUUGCAUAUAUGUGUAUAUGCAAUGCUAAUUCUUUUAUCAGGUUGGCAAAGCAUGAGGAUAUACAUCUGCCUUUCCCCACCUAGAUGGUCUCUUCCUUGAAAUAAAUGUAUGUUGUUUUGUUGGCCGGCCGACAAUAAUUUUAAUUAGUUGAUCGCUCACUCAGAACUCAAAUAUCUUACAGUAUUGUGCAUUAGCAUCAUAUGAAAACUGAACUUCAAGUUUGCACUGGCUAAUUGGCAAUCCCUUGUAGGAUAAACCACACCACCCUUUGGACUGCCCGCCGUUGAGUUGGACCGGACUGGACAAACCAGUCGAACGGCCUGGAUUUCGUUGACCAGACCAGCGGCGCUCUGGCCCGGGCGACUCGCUGCCGUGUGCCGUGAACGACCAGCACAGGGCACGAGCGGGAGGGAGGAAUGGAAGAUCACAAGGAUGGCAAUGGCGAGGUCAGCAAGGCUUGUGGAGGACGGGAGCAUGGUCAUGGAGCUCGGCAGCGGCUGCCAAAGUAAUGACGUAUGGCGAUGUUGGGAGCACGCUGGAGGAAGUGCUGCUCAUCACGGACAUGUCCUGCAGCUUCUGGAGCACCGAAGGGAGCUUGAUGGAGCAAGGAGAGAUGUAGGGGCGUGGUGGCGGCGAUGAGCUUGGUGAAUUUUCCUCAGGUUUAGCAUUUGAUCAAAUGUCAUAUUUUAAAUUAAAUCAUGUGUUGCGAUUGUAUUCUUCAUGAUUUUAAAUUAAGCAAUCUCUUAAUAUUGAAAAUAACAAAACAAUUUUAAGAUAGUUCUUAAUUUGGUUUAGGUUGCAUUUUAGAAGAAAAACAAUUCUAAGAUUUUUGACGUACGUGCACGUGUGCUACACCAUAUAAUAGGCAACCUGCAUUGCACAUGCUCAAUUAGGCCAAUAUAUUUUAUAGGACUAAUAUGCCAGUCGUUAAGGUGGUUUAUAGGGCAAGUAAGUGAUGUAAAAUGUGACUCUGAUGUUGUACUAAUGUAUAGUACCAUGAGUCGCUUCUACUAGGAUUCAUUAACGGGUAUACAAAAAAGGAAGGUUUUGGUUCUACAAGAGAAACAUUUUCUUGUCGCGUGUGCACUCGAUUAUUUGUAUAAGGCAGUUCUAAAUGUUAGGGGUUAAAAUUAAUUUCUAUAUAAUAUGGUUAUUUAUUUAUUUCAGAUUAAUGUCAUCGUAGUUUAAAAAUCAGAAGUGUGCACAAAGGAUUUGGAAAAGUAAACGAAAGGUAUAUUCCUCAUUAGUUGUCGAAUUAUUACAAGAACGAUGGAUGAAUCGAUUCUUUUCUUCUAUGUAAUUCUGUAGUUAGUCCUCCUAGAUUAUUACAAGAGUGUUUUCACUACCCCGUGAGACAACUAAUUAUCAAUGAUAUUUCUAUGAGAUUGUAGCUGUGAAAAUUUCAUGCACAUCUUCCUUUGGUACAUGUCAUAUUGUUUAAUUUGCGUCUAUAACUUCUCAUGAGUGAUCAACUUAACUUUCUUCCUGACCUUUCAUAUUUAUUUGUGUCGACUUUUUGUAAUGCUUUCUUGGGUCACCACUGUAGUUGUUUAACAUGGGCUCUUGACCAUGCAUUUAGAAUUCAGAACAUAGUUGAUUUAUUUGUUUUAGUCUUAUUCUUAGAAAAGAAGGGAUCUCAUGUGCUAUGCGGUGUCGGAUUGACAAGAACGAGAGGAAAAAUAAAUUAUGGAACUGGGUAGGUUACUACACUGAUGAUCUAAAGAAAGGCUCAUCGAUGGUUUAAUUUUGUAUACAUGAAUGUCUAAAUUGUUCUUAUGCUGAAUAAAAAUAUUUUUAGUGCAAUAAUAUAAAGAACCGGUGCUUAUAUCAUAACUUUAAAAUACCAGAGAUGAUUUUCCUAUGUGCAUAGGCUGCUCAUGAGUUUGUAGAAAGUAUCAUAAUGUUUAGACCUGAGCCUCUCUGAAAAGACUUGUUGUAAUAAAAUGCUUUAAUAGUAGAGAUAUACGCCAUAUAUGAAGAGAAGACAAAGAAACGAGGCAUGGUUUUAUAUACAUUCGCAUGAUUAAGAAUUUAAUAACUAGAAAAGGUCAAGCACUAUCCUCAAUUUCAGUUUUCGUGGGGCAUGUAUAUUUCUGUUUUCUUUUGUUGGAAAUGCAUGUUCUUGUUAUUUUGUAAGAAAUAAAGCCUGAAGAUCAUAAUAACUCAGAUACAUAUACUGAGCUGCUUGUUAGCUAUUACCUUGUUUAUAAACUUGGUGGAGAACCUAUGUAAACAAUAUCAUCUUAAAAACGUAUUGAUAACAUUUGUUGCGAACAGGUUUAUGUUCUAAAAAGAACGGACCCAACUAACCAUUGAUAAGAUUUAUCGGGAUGCUUGGAUUUGCAGGUUGCUUUAAACUAUGAUAAGUAGUAAAAUGGAGCCGUCUUGGAAGAAAAGGUUUAACUAGAGAAGUUAAAACCUGUUAUUCCACACAAUGGCACUCGGUGGGGAGGAAGGGACAUGGAAGGAUCUGUUGCGGUGUGUAGACUGCAUGAAGAAUUGUUGGGAUCCUGUGUUUGACACAACACAUUCACUGAGCGGAUAUAACAUAAUUUCGUCAAAUAUGUAUAUGUCUUUGUUGUUCCAUACCAAUGGACCUACAGUAGUGUUCAUACACCUACUCACAUACAAUGACCAUGAAUGUGAAGCCAAUACCUCUCAAGCUGUACAAGAUUUUGUCAAGAGAAUAAAACUAUUUUUUCAUGUAGACCCAUGAUCUUAACUAUGUUCACCUUGAGUUUGAGUAUACUUUGUUUUCUAUGAGUGAAUAAGCACUAUUUUGUUGUAACACAAUCAUAAGCAGCAUGUUUUAAUCAAUGUCUUCAUGUUCAAAUUUGUUGUUCCGUGGCAACGUACGGGCAUUCAACUAGUUUAUUAUAAAGACUUAAACCAAAUCACUAGUGGGAAACCUUUUGGAAGGCUUUGUGGAAAAUUCAUGUUCAACAUAUUAUCAGGAUCUUCUGAUGGAGGGUGUUGAAAGGUUUUCUCCGGGGAGUUAAUCAGAAGCAUGUUGUCCUUUUAUGGACAUAGCAAGGAGACACUUUUUCAUGCGCUUGUAAACACGGGCGGAGCCAGCCCAAGUGGCUGGGGACAUUAAUAUUUGGCUAACUGAGGACCCAACUAGUAAAACAUUAGAUUUCAUAGUAAUAAAAUAGGAAUUGACUGGGUGCCGGGGUCCCCACUCAGCCCAACGUGGGUCCGCCCGAGCUUGUAAAAUGUGAUCAUGCGAUGUUGGAUGAGGCAAGGAGUUUCUUUGGCGUAAACCUUCCUCGGCUGCACCCAUUAACUUGGGACAAAUAUAUGCUAAUAGAUCCCCAUGUCAAUCGAUGGAGAUGUUUGCCGCCAUUGCAAUUUUCGUGAUGUGGAAAAUCGAAAAUAGUCUAAACAAAUACGCUCACAAAGAGAUGGUAUAUCAAUUGAAGCGUUUGGUGGAGGUGAUGGAGGAUCUCAUAAGAGCGUUGGACAUCAUGUCGAGUUUCCAUGUUAUGUCACCAGCAAGAGUUAUAUGUAAAUCAAAACGUUCAAAUUCUACUAUAUGUUGCUACAUUUUAGCUUUCUUCAUUAUUGUGUGCCAGCAUAAGCACCUACGUCUAAUAUCACUAGAUUGCCUUUUGCACAAGAUCUCAUUGAAAUCAUGGAUGCAAACCCAAGGGAGAUAGCCAAGAGAGAUGUUCUCCAUGCGAGAAAAUUUCACAGUGUCCCAUUUUUUGUAUGUCCGGCUCCGGGGUUGCUUUAGCAUACAAACAAGAAAGUUGCCAUUGAACUUUGCCCAGUUCCAAGAUAAGUGAGUCAAUGUGCUGGUAUGAAUAGCUAUUUAUUUCAAGACAAAUGGGGUUAUUCCAAAACACACACGUUCCACUACUGUGAUCAUUACUUCCAAAUGCAAAACUACAAUUAAAACCUACCUCCACGUGGCUCUUCAAAAACUGAGUUUCAACUAUAUAAAUGACCAUCAACACAUAUGCCUUCGCGAGAUCAUGAAGCUCAUGAACUGUCAAGGAAUCGCCAAUUCUGUGGCAGUUUCAGCAUAGGGGUUCUCAUUGAUCCUGGCAGCACCCCUCUAGGGAGCCUGUUUUAACUGAUCUACGUGUUCUGUUCUUGGCACCUAUCAUGGAUCUCUUUGUAGCUUGCUUUAGAGGGAGCUUGGGGGAUAAAUAUCGCACCCGACAACGAAACGACCCCACACAUUAGACUAUAUUUCUAGCCUACUAACACAUCAAUUGCAGUUGUGUUCACAUCGUUUGCAUCAGUCAUUGCAGUUUCGAAGUCAUCUUUGUCAUCAACAACCCUCUUUAAGUUUUUUAUCAUCGCCAUCCAUAUCAUCAUCCGAGGGCUCCUACUCCUCUACAAGAUUCUUGUGAUAAAAUGAAUCAAUAUCACCAGGCCGGCCUGAACGACCACCCCGUCUCCCAGAACCACCACGAUCCCGACCACUAGAGGGCCGGCCAGUCUUCAUGCUCCAACUCGCGCGAAGAUUCUUAAAAACAAUCGUCGAGGCGGGAUAUAAGCCAUCACCAUGCUCUUUGUAGACAUGGCCAAAUAUGCAACAGACCAUACACCUAUCCAGUAGCAUCUCGUGCUUUACAACGACCAACUCGCUGCGGUGAGCGUAGAAUAGGAAUUUUGCGCCGAGUGUGUGUUGAGGAAUCAGGGCAGAACAACACAAAUAAUGUGGGCCUUUGCAGGAGGCUGCGCUCAGGAGUGUGGGCUGGGCCCUCAAGCCCACUAUGCGAGCACGGCGACGGCGUCACCCACCUUGAAAUACCCCGCCUUGGCGCCCGACCGUAACCGUCCCAACCAACCUCUUCUCCCCGUCGCCGGAGCACCAAGAUUCCAAGAACCCCACCUCUCCUUCCCCGCUCGGUUUCUCCCUCCACCGCGCACCUCUACUCUCCGGCGUAUCCGGCGACCGAUGGAGCAGUUCCAGACGGCCACCACGUGCGGCUGCGGAGCCGCCAGACCGGCACGUACCUGCACGCCGACGACGACGGGCGUCGCGUCUCCCUCAGCCGGCGGCGCGCGUCGAUGAACGAGGCUUGGGCGGUGCACUUGUUCCAGCCCCCUCAGGCGCAGGUGCGGUACCUACUCCUCCACAGCGCCGCCUACGGUCGCUACCUCGCCUCCACGGACGCGCCGGCGCCGCGCACUUGUUCCAGCCCCCUCAGGCGCAGGUGCGGUACCUACUCCUCCACAGCGCCGCCUACGGUCGCUACCUCGCCUCCACGGACGCGCCGGCGCCGCGAGGCCACAGCGGGCUCCGCGUCGAGCAGUGCGACUACGAGCCGUGGGAGGAGGAGGCCAUCAGGUGGCAGGCCGUAGGGGUCGACUCCGGGAACGACGUCCUGCUCCGCAACGUCGCCGGCCGCCUCCGCGCCAACGGGAGGUACCUCAGCGUCGACGACUUCAACAGCACCGGCACGAUGAUGCACUGGGUCGUGGAGCGCAUCCCCGCCAGGAACGACGCGCCUCGUCUUGCAGCUCCGACUGGGGUGAGUCCGCCAUGCCCGCUGCUGCUUCAUACUUCUCGAACUGCUUUCAGCGGAACUAUCGAUUGGGCGAAUUGGCUUCUUGGAUGCCGUUAAUUUGCGUCAGAAUUCAACCGCGGGGAUUGCAUAUUGCGUCAAUUUCAUUCUCCUGGGAGCAAUUCUUGCCAAAUUUGCGCCAUGCCCGCUUCUUGAUUCUUCCCGAAUUUGGUUCUUGGGGAUUCAGUUGGGGAUUUGUGUUUCCGAUCAAAGAAUUCAGAACAGUACCCUGCUUCGCAUUUGAUGGUUCUUUGGAACUGCAGCUCCGCCUUCCCAGAAGCCUCGACUUCGUGUUGCCGUGGAGGGUGAUACAGUACGAGCAGGAGGGAGCCGAGGAGUCCAAUGUCGGCUUCGCCUGGGAAUCACUCGUAUUCAGGGGCAGGUCCGCAUACCACUUGAGGAAGGAGCUGGCCAGUCGGCUGGGUGUCGCCAUGGACGUCUCCAACCUCGUCAUGUGCGUCCGAGCAGGUAUGCACGGGCGGCUUACCCCACUGGUCGUCGACUUGCCCCACAGCCGCGAGACCCUCGACAUCAUCGUCGUCAUGGCCGGGACGCCAGGUGAGACGCGCCAUUGCCGCAUUAAUUUACAUGAUCAGCUUGUGUUAUGAAACUGUCUGAAGAACACUUUACUGAAACUGUUGUAUUCUGCAUAAUCUUGUGGUCCAUACCUCAUUUGCUAGUGGUCCAUACCUCAUUUGCUGCAUUGACAUGAUCAGCUUGUGCUGGAAAACUGUCUGAAGAACAGUUUUACUGAAACUGUUGUACUGUAUUUUGCAACCUGCUGCUAAUCUUCAGUUAAAAACUGGGAGUUGUCUAGACUCUUGUAGUAUUAGACAUAAGGAGAAGAGUUGAAUGGAAAUAGUUGGUAUCUGCAUUAUGCCUGCUGUAAAGAUGCUAGAAGGUAAUCUGGAUCCAGAUUGUUUGGGGAUAAAAUCAUAACAUAUUCACACUAAACCCUGACACAGAAAUUAUUUCAUAGUACUGUCCUUGAUACAAAUAAUUCAGUUUUCCUAGUUGCUAACUUCCUAGUUCCUAUCCUACUGGCCCAUACUAUUUUCUGCGUUGACAUGAUCAGCUUGUGCAAUGAUACUAUUUUACUGAAAAUGUUGUAUUCUGCAACUGCUGCUAAUCUGCUUCAGUUAGAACUUGGGAGUUGUCUGCACACUCUUGUAGUAUUAGACAUUUGGAGUAUUUGCAUUAUGCCUUCUGUAAAGGUGCUAGAAGGUAAUCUGAAUCAAGUUUGUUUGGGGAUAAAAUCAUAACAUAUAUUCACACUAAACCGUGACACAAAAAUUAUUGGUUUCAUAGUACUGUCCUUGAUACAAAUAAUUCACUUUUCCCAUUUGGCACCAUUAAUUUGUCACUUGUAGAAACUUUGGAACUCUGAUAUCCAACUCAGUAAAGUUAUUUGUACUGUAAAUUCUGUUCGAUUUAGCAUACUAUAAAUUGUUUGAACAACAUGUGAACUAGAUUCAGGUUAUAUCCUACAGUAUUUCAUGAAAGCUUUCUUUCAGGUUUUUGCACAUUAUAUUGUAUUUUUCAGGCUUUUGUGCAUAAGCUGUCUUCUUCGUUAAUUCUGCAACACAUUGAUAUUUAAGUUAUUGGUCUUCUCAAACUGUUGCACUACCUGUGACUUGAUGCCUAAGUUGCUCACUUUCUGUUCUUAUUCAGCUCACGCAGAGCUGCGGUACCCGGAUGUCGGUGCAGAUUAGAGAAAGAUAAGAGCAGGGCUCCUAACAAUCCACCUCUUCAGAAGUGACGCUGCCUCGGACACGAUGACAUGAAAAUUCAGAACUGCAUUUUGCAUUCAGAUAUAGGUUUAGGAAGCGCCUCUUGUGUCUGUUAGCAUAGAUAAACUUGAUUCAGUCCCAAGACAGGAGGAACCUGUCUAUUUUACCUUUGUGGCUCUAAAAUUUCAGAAUUUGUGUGAAGAAAUUAUACAUUGGCAUUGGUCUGUAGUGAUUUCGAACUUAUUCUGGCUGCUACUUCAGGGUUGACUCUGUAAUUUCUCUUAUAUGUCAAUUUGAGAACCUCUGUGAGCAGUUAUGCAAUAACAUUGGUUUGUAGUGGUUGUGUUCUUAACUUGUUAUACCUGCUGGUACUUCAGCGUUGUCGGGUGCAUUUCUCUUAGAUGUCAGCGCUGCUGUUUGAAGUUUCAGUCAUUCAGCAGAAAAUGAAUUUUGCAAGAUAUGUACAGGUCGAUAUUAUUUGCUGCAUUCAAAUGAUCUUUUGGGAUUUAUUUUAAUGGAGCAUUGAUAAGCUUGUGCUGGAAGAUAUAUAGUGAUAAUCUUCAGUUAGGAGUUUACUGAAACUGUUGUAUUCUGCAACUGCUGCUAAUCUUUAGUUAGGAGUUUACUGAAACUGUUGUAUUCUGCAACUGCUGCUAAUCUUCAGUUAGGAAUUUACUGAAACUGUUGUAUUCUGCAACUGCUGCUAAUCUUCAGUUUGUAGUUGGGACUCGUCUGUAUUAAUAUAAGUAGAAGGAGUUGAAUAGAAAUGCUUGGUAUUUGCAUUAUGCGUGUUGUACAAAUGCUAGAAGGUGAUCUGAAGCUAAACUGACUAUUGGGGAGAAAAAUCAUUAUUCAAGUUACAUAUUAACAUUAAACCUUGAUACAGUUUUUUUUUUGUUUCAUACGACUGACACACAUAAUUAAAUUUUCCCAUUUGGAACUCAGAAACCCAACCCAGUCAAGUCUUAGAUUCUCGGCCUUAAACAGAGGACACAUAUUUCUAGUUGAUUUAGCAUACUGUACGUUUUUUGAACAGCAUGCAAACAAAUUCAGGUUAUAUUGAUGAAAUGAUGAUACCAAAUUCAGGUUGUUUUACAGGUUUUAUACAUAAGCUGUCUUCUUAGUCAAUUAUGCAAUGCAGUGAUAUUUAAGUUAUGGAUCCUCUCCACGAUUGCCUACGACAUGAUUCCUUACUCUUUCACUGUCUGGUCUAACAGUCCACGCCGAGUUGCAGUACCCGGAUGUCAAUGCAGAGUAGAGAAAUAUAAGAGCAAGAGUCCACAGUCGCCUGUUUGACCGUCGCCUGACAGUCCCCUGUUCAGAAGUGUCACCGCCUCUGACGCAAUGACAUGAGAAUUCAGAACUGUACAAUUUACAUUGAUAUUUAGGUUUAGGAAUCCUCAGAAGCUCUUGUGAUUCUGCUAGCUGAAAUUGAUUCAUUCUCCUGACAACAAGGUACUGAACUUGCAGAGCCUUUGUUCUCACACGGUGUCAAUAUUGUUUUCUAGAGACAACAGCUUAAGGUAAUCUUGUCUAUCGAAAACAUCUCAAACAACAAGCUUAAUCUAAUCUUGUCUGCACAGUGCGCAGCAACAGAGCUACAGGACUACGAUCAAACAUCUGAAACAACGCAAGAUGAGGUCGAUCCAUCAAUCGGACAACUCGAUCGAUCAGGCAUCGCUGUCGCGGUCGUCGCCGCUGCCGACUCGCCGCUGUCGUUUGAGGCAGUAGUCCCCGGCGUCGACGCCUUGGUUGGCCUUCUCGCACGCGUCGAUCCAGUCGUGAUAGAUGUCGACGGGCUCGGUGAGGUGGUGCGCCGCGGUGUGGUAGGCCUCCUGGCAGACGUAGCAGACGGCGCUGGCGACGUAGAGCUUGAGGUCGAUGGUGCAGGACACGCCGCCGGGGUGGUUGCAGAAGGGGCAGCAGAAGGUGGUGUCCAGCUUCGGCGCCGGCUUCUUCCGCGACGCCAUCUUGGAGCUCAUCGACUUGCGCUUCGCCAUCUCGAUCACCGCACCACCAGAUCGCGAUCGCAGGUAGGAGGUUCCGGCAGCAAAACCAAAACUUCGAGGCGUAGGUGCAGGAGAGAGAGAGAGGCGAUGUGUUGGUAGGGAAAGGAAAGUGUUGGGCGUGCUUAUAAAGGAUGUGCAUGCCCACUCCGACUCCGGCUCCUCUUCGGCGGCAGAAUGAGAAAUGCAUAUGCAUAUGCAUUGCGUGGUGUGGCGGUGCAACGAAGCCAUUACCGAGUCGGAGC